rnacentral:rRNA from 1 species
CGCAAGCCUGACGGAGCCAGACCGCGUGAGGGAAGAAAGCCUUUGGGUUGUAAACCUCUUUUCUCAGGGAAGAAACCUGACGGUACCUGAGGAAUCAGCAUCGGCUAACUCCGUGCCAGCAGCCGCGGUAAGACGGAGGAUGCAAGCGUUAUCCGGAAUUAUUGGGCGUAAAGCGUCCGCAGGUGGUGAGUCAAGUCUGCUGUCAAAGACUAGAGCUUAACUCUGGAAAGGCAGUGGAAACUGGUAGGCUAGAGUACGGUAGGGGUAGAGGGAAUUCCCAGUGUAGCGGUGAAAUGCGUAGAGAUCGGGAAGAACAUCGGUGGCGAAAGCGCUCUACUGGACGGCAACUGACACUCAGGGACGAAAGCUAGGGGAGCG